GUGAGGAAUAUUGGACAAUGGGCGCAAGCCUGAUCCAGCCAUGCCGCGUGCAGGAAGACGGUCCUAUGGAUUGUAAACUGCUUUUGUACAGGAAGAAACACUCCUACGUGUAGGAGCUUGACGGUACUGUAAGAAUAAGGAUCGGCUAACUCCGUGCCAGCAGCCGCGGUAAUACGGAGGAUCCAAGCGUUAUCCGGAAUCAUUGGGUUUAAAGGGUCCGUAGGCGGUUUAAUAAGUCAGUGGUGAAAUCUGGUCGCUCAACGAUCAAACGGCCAUUGAUACUGUUAGACUUGAAUUAUAAGGAAGUAACUAGAAUAUGUAGUGUAGCGGUGAAAUGCUUAGAUAUUACAUGGAAUACCAAUUGCGAAGGCAGGUUACUACUUAUGGAUUGACGCUGAUGGACGAAAGCGUGGGGAGCGAACAGGAUUAGAAACCCGGGUAGUCC
rnacentral:rRNA from 1 species